rnacentral:sRNA from 1 species
AUUGCGCAUGCGGGAAACCCACGCUGAGGGAAGAAUCAUGGGAAAGAGUAGAGACGGGGUUCCACCGUGUUAGCCAGGAUGGUCUCGAUCUCCUGACCUCGUCAUCCUCCCGCCUUGGCCUCCCAAAGUGCUGGGAUUACAGGCUUGAGCCACCGCGCCCCGCUCUUUCGUGUUCCAAAGGCUUUUUAAAUAAACUUCCACUCCUGUCCUGGAUUCUGCUUUAUGGCCCUCAGUCGAAUUCUUUCUUCUGAGGAGGCAAGGACUGAAGUUGCUUCUGACCAGUACAGGACCUGGAAGAAGUCAUGCCACGGGCCAGACCUUAACAUUCCUUUCGGCUUACCCCAGGAUUUCAGACGAAGCUUCACUUUCCUAACCAGUCACAAAUCAGAGAAUUUUUGAUUCCACCUAUGACCUGUGAGCUCCUGCUUCAAGAUAUUCCACCUUUUUUAGGCCAAACCAAUGUAUAACCUCCAAGUGUCGAUUUACACUUUCGACUGUAACUUCUGCUUUCCUGAGAUUUACCCCUGCCUUUAAAAACCCUUGCUUGUAAUCCCUCAGGGAGGCCGUGUAUUUAUUAAUCAUGAGCUGCCCAAUUCUCCUUGCUUGGUGCCCUGCAAAUAAACACCCUCUUUUCUCCCACUGCAAAA